AUGCUCAUUGCACCAGAAGUGAGGACUGAGCUGAAGAGCUGGGCAGUGUGGGGAGGUUUGGCAGACACUGCUUGGCCAGGAGCAGUUCUGCUGAGCGAUUUGCAGCACUGUCCUUGGGGGCAGCGAGUGCUGGGCACAGCCUAUACAAACCUGUGUGCAUGGAGCAUCCUGUGGCGAGGGAUGACGCUCCCCGCCCCGCUUACCCUUCCCGUUCAGGCGCUGUUGGGAACAAGGCGUGGAGGCUGCACUGGCUGCAGCAACGCAGUCUGUAUGCAGACGCUUCCUUGCCCACCGCCACUUUCGCUUCUGAGGUGGGACUUGGCGGGAGAGGGGUCCCGCCAAGUGGGGGUCCCGCCAAGUGGGGGUCCCCAGGGACCCCCACUAAGUGCCGUCCACCAGGGAUGUCCCCGUGCCCCUCCUCGCCCCGCAGCCCCCCAGGCUUCCCGACACGCACGGCCCGCGCGACCCCCGCCGCCCCCAGGGCAGCCAGACCCUCCGGCCGCACGGGAGGAGCCUGGCAUCCCCGACGGCCUCUCCCCGCCCCUGCCCGCCUCCCGCUGCCUGUCCAUCCACCCUUGCGUCCCUCCGACUUUCUCCACAUUGCAGAUGCUUCUCCAUCUACGUAGCCCUGCAUCUUCCCGUUUGCCUGAACAUCUCUUGCUCGGUCUCUCCAUCUCUUCCUCUUCCGUCCCUUCCGUUUGCCUGUUGUUUGCCUCUUACUGCCUCUUCCCCUUCCUCUUCUAUCUCUUCAGUGCAUCCGAUUGUCUGUCUCUCCCAGCUGACGACCCCCGCUGUUAUUCUGGUGAGUGCCUGCUUGUUUGUUCUACGUUUUGUUAUUUGCUCCCUGUUGUCUGUUCAUUGUCCUCCAUCACUGGGAAGAGCUUGCUCCUGUUCAAUCCAUCCCUCUGCCCAUCACUCAGCCCUACUUCCGCAAGGAAGAAGAAAGAAAACACCCUAUUUGGUUUCUUUGUCCACACUGUCAGCAUAAUGGUGGGGUGGGGAUUUUUCUGA
rnacentral:lncRNA from 1 species